CAGGAAGAACAUCGGUGGCGAAGGCGACCUCCUGGACUGUGUCUGACGCUGAGGUGCGAAAGCGUGGGUAGCGAACAGGAUUAGAUACCCUGGUAGUCCACGCCGUAAACGAUGAGAACUAGCUGCUGGGACGCUUGACGUCUUGGUAGCGUAGCUAACGCGUUAAGUUCUCCGCCUGGGGAGUACGGCCGCAAGGUUAAAACUCAAAGAAAUUGACGGGGGCCCGCACAAGCGGUGGAGCAUGUGGUUUAAUUCGAUGCAACGCGAAGCACCUUACCUACCCUUGACAUCCUCGGAAGCUUUCAGAGAUGAGAGUGUGCCUUAACCGGAACCGAGAGACAGGUGCUGCAUGGCUGUCGUCAGCUCGUGUCGUGAGAUGUUGGGUUAAGUCCCGUAACGAGCGCAACCCCUAUCCUUAGUUACCAGCGAUUCGGUCGGGAACUCUAAGGAGACUGCCGGUGUUAAACCGGAGGAAGGUGGGGAUGACGUCAAGUCAUCAUGGCCUUUAUGGGUAGGGCUACACACGUGCUACAAUGGGCAGUACAAAGGGUUGCCAACCCGCAAGGGGGAGCUAAUCCCAAAAAGCUGUUCGUAGUCCGGAUUGGGGUCUGCAACUCGACCCCAUGAAGUCGGAAUCGCUAGUAAUCGCAAAUCAGAAUGUUGCGGUGAAUACGUUCUCGGGCCUUGUACACACCGCCCA
rnacentral:rRNA from 1 species